rnacentral:lncRNA from 1 species
GCGGCGGAAUUUAGUAUCCUCCGGGCUGCAGCUGUGCCCCGCCUGUGACACGGGCUGUGAGGCGCAGUGCACGCGCCUAGGAAGUGCUCAGAACCGCGGGCGCGGACGCUGUGCCCUGGCACCUUUCCAAACCGCCCCGAAGCCCCUGUGGCAGGUGGCAGAAGAGGCAGGGGCUUGGCCGGAGGCCCGCGGUACUUCCUUGGGACCGAUGCACCCAGAGCUGGGAGGACCAACUGAAGGGAGAGAGGCAAAGCGGAGCAGGCAGUGUGUGGGGGCACCGAGGACAGCAGAAAACCAACAGCCAGACUCAGUCCCCUCUCUCACAGAUGAACCACGGACCCAGAGGAGCCCCAGAGGAGCCCACAGCAGUAGCAGCUUGGCGGGGAGGCCGGCCAGAGAGCUUCGAUAGGACCCCUUCUGGCUCUGGGUCCCCUUUGUCCCGAGCGCCUGGGACCAGCCCAAAUUCAGCCACACCUGAGGGCCGAGGGGCUCUGAGUCCAGCUCCUCCACCCCCAUCACCCG